rnacentral:rRNA from 1 species
AUUGAACGCUGGCGGCAGGCCUAACACAUGCAAGUCGAGCGGAUGAAGGGAGCUUGCUCCUGGAUUCAGCGGCGGACGGGUGAGUAAUGCCUAGGAAUCUGCCUGGUGGUGGGGGAUAACGUCCGGAAACGGGCGCUAAUACCGCAUACGUCCUGAGGGAGAAAGUGGGGGAUCUUCGGACCUCACGCUAUCAGAUGAGCCUAGGUCGGAUUAGCUAGUUGGUGGGGUAAAGGCCUACCAAGGCGACGAUCCGUAACUGGUCUGAGAGGAUGAUCAGUCACACUGGAACUGAGACACGGUCCAGACUCCUACGGGAGGCAGCAGUGGGGAAUAUUGGGCAAUGGGCGAAAGCCUGAUCCAGCCAUGCCGCGUGUGUGAAGAAGGUCUUCGGAUUGUAAAGCACUUUAAGUUGGGAGGAAGGGCAGUAAGUUAAUACCUUGCUGUUUUGACGUUACCAACAGAAUAAGCACCGGCUAACUUCGUG